AUGGAGACCUGCUCUCCAUUUACAUCGGAGACAGCGUGACUUUGCCUUGUUCUUUGGCCUCCAGCAGCAAACAUCUAAGCUGGUACCAGCAGAGAGUCGGGGAGCAGCCUCAGAUCAUCUCCUUCAUGUACAAACAUUCAAACUCCAACAGCUUCUACAAGCCGUUUGACAACAGACGCUUUUCAGUUCACACAGGAGGAGAGCUCUACAGUCUGAGCAUCUCUGAUGUCCAGAACUCAGACUCUGCCAUGUAUUACUGUGGACACACCAGCAUCACCGUCACAGAGUUUGACAGAGGAACCUUUCUGAUGGUUAAAGAUGAACGUCUGGUUCUCAGAUUCCAGUUGCAGGUCCUUGAUCCAGGAGCCAGACUGGGACUCGACUCUGAACUGCACGCUGCUAACUGGAACCAGUGA